AGAGACUGCCAGCGGCAGCUGCUGGCUCAGGUGCGGCCUGUGUGGGAGGACUCGUGUCUCGGUGGUUACAGAGAAGCUGGCUUCCACGGUGUGAACCCGACUGAAUCACAGGCCGCUUUUUUGUUCUCCCUCGGCCUUGGAGGGCCUGGGACGUUCCUGUUGCCCAACAUCCUGAAUAACAGAGUACACCAGUCAUCAUAAGAAGAAAAAUUCACAUUUAAAGUUUGGAAAGCAACAGGACAAAGGUCUGUCUUCAGUGGUGCGUAGACAUGCUCGUGAUUGAAUUGGAAAUAGUUCUCUUUCCUUCUCUCUGACUUCCUAACUGAAAAGCUGCAGCGUGGGGAGAAAGGCUGCUCAGAAGCCUGGAGCCAGAACACGCACCCCGGCUUUUGCAGGGCCGGCUCACUUGGUUAGAAUCAAAGGAAAAGCCUUGUUAUUUGGGAAGCUGGGCGUCCUCACCAAAUUAGGGGAUUUAAUUUGCAGAUAUCUAAGGAGUGCUUUGAAAUGAAAGAUGAACUAAAAUCUGCUCUGAGGCCCGUGAUUUUUCACCAGUGAAGGACUCUCUUGCUGCUGGACAUACAUGAAAAGCAUCAUCUGAUCUGAAACGCAAGUCCCUGCAAGACAGAGGAGAGACUUUAUAAACAUUUUAUACCAUUCUAUGAAAUCAAUUCGAUUCAGGGCUAGAAUUCAAGAAGUAAUCCAUGGGCAAGUAUAUCUGAUGGUAAACCCAAACGAUUAUAUUGUUAACCUCUUGUACUUUUUUUAAUUUUUUAUUAUUUGAUAUUAUUAUCACAAAAGUCGCUGGAACAGGAUCCAUGAGCUGCUUCUUCACUGCUUAGUGUUUUCAGAAGCUGAUGGAUUAUUAAGCUCCAAUUGAAUACUUGAUUUCCAAUGAUUCCAUUAAUUUUUCUGGUUUGUGGUAGGAUUUGAUUUACUUAUUUUGUACUUUAACACACCAAUAAAAAAUAGAUACUAAGAAA
ensembl:lncRNA LINC00683 long intergenic non-protein coding RNA 683